CACAUUUCAAAUACACCUUUUAUGGUGUUAUGGGAACAGAACAAAACAGCACAAGGUUAUUUAACAACAACAAAAAAGAUCUGCAUCUCCACAAUGAGUGAUUUUCCAGGAGCACUUGACAACAGGAGUGCCAUCACCCUGGGAUCUUUCCUGUGGCAGUACUGUUUGAGAUAGUCCAUUUACUGCUCAGUCUAGUAUAAUCCCUCCACUAUCUUUCUUCAGAACCUGAGUACUGCUGCCAAGGAAAAGGGGAUAGAAAAUGAAGAUCAGAAAUAUGGAGUCAAUGCCAGAAAUACAGACAAGGGAAGCACCACAUAUCUCUCAGUCUUGAUUGCUAAGUAAUAGCUAUAGAUUGGGCAAAGUGAGAAAGCAGUGAAUCAUUGUAUCUUCAAG